GGUACUUAGUUGUCAGCAGGCAUAAAACCAUAACCAGUAAAAGAUGAAGAAUAAUGAUAUAAUAGCUCCAGUUGUCUUCACUCCUAUACAACCUAAUGAUUAUCACUAGUGUUGGGAAAUGAAUUUUCAGAAUUUAUGAUUCUCCAGGAAAAGAGCAGGUGAGUCAGAGUAAACAAAUCAGCCUGGAGUGACUAUCGAGAAGCUGUGCUGCUGCAUCAUCCCAUCCUUGCAGGAAACUGGUGGGCUGUCAGUGUGGGUUUUCAGAUGCACCAAGGAAAGUUUUAAAAUCAUCUAUAUGUACAAUUGUUUCUGUGAUAUCUCCUUCAUUCCAUGUAAAUCAGUCUGUUUAGUCACAGUAAACUACUGAUUUUUAACAGGCUAGAGCAUUCAGCAACAGUCCAGGAUCUCUGGGUUUUUCACACUCUGGAUGGACUUCCAGGGUGACUGGAGUUCAAGUUCUUUGCAUCUUAGAGACACCUCCUCUGCGAGCAGCUCUGUUUUCAAUGUACAGUUCAAAUGUAUGCCUGGAGCAAAUAAACACACAUCUAAAAAAGCUGGGAGCCUUGCAGUAGUAAUCCAAGCUCUUUGUGCCCUGGUGGCCCUGCCUGUUCUCAGGCACCCCAAAUGUGGUCCGAGGCCAGGCAAGUGAAGAGCAGCAUCUCUCAGGAGUCUAGGUGGGCUCUGCAGCUGAGCCACUGCUUCAUGUGGAGUUGUGGCCACUGGAAAUUCAGAGAACCAAGCCUUUUCUGAGUGUGUGUUUUAAAUGUGUGGAGAGGAAAAAGCUACCCAGGUGACCUACAGAGGCAAAUUUUGGAGACUAAAGGGAGCUUUGCUAUUGCCUUGAAAGGGAGCGGGAUGGAUUUCUGAGCACAGCAUUUCAACUAAGCUGAGCUGGUUGGGGUUCUCAAUAAACUGCUGAUGCAAAAUGGGACCUCUGCUCUUCCAGGCCUUCUCUGUGCCAAGGACUGACCCAGCAGCAACUUUCAAUAUUCAUGGAUGCAAAAAAUUCUGCAAAUGAUAACGUGCAGCUGAGAGGCUGUGAGCCUUGAAUGAGACAAUUCUGCAGCAGAGCACUGGUUUGUCAGGAAUCCUCUCUGCUCCACCUGGGAUGCCGUGGUCUGUCAAAGCACAGCAGCAGUGCAGGGAAAUGAUCUUGGAGCAGUGAAUGAAACACAGUAUGUGCUAAUAUUGAUAUUGGUGAUGAUAUGCCAAUGUGUGGCAGGACAGAACAGUUUCAGAUGGACAUGCAGAACAGGGUCCAAAGAACACAGGAGAUUCCAACUAUGAGAAAUCUGAUAGGCAGUCCAUUUUCAUCAGUGACUUGAGAUAAGUCCCUUUGCUUUUCUAAUUGUCAACGCACAGUUAUUCUUGCAGUUGUGAGUGAGGAUCCCCAACUGCUACUUGGUUCUAAAUUUCUCACCUCUUUCUGCUCUGCUUCACAGAAAACCUGCAUAAUUCUUUGUCUUUGUACUUCUGCAGCUUGCACAAAAUUCACUUCAUUCUUGUUAGGUGAAACUGUUGAGGUCAGAACUCAGAAUACCUCCCAGGAAACAGAAGGCAAGAGAAAGGAGGGUGAUGCUCUCCUUAACUCGAGGUCUGAUUUGGAAUUCCUGGGUUGAAUUUUAGCUCCUUUUUCAGGAGAAAUUGAAAUAUGUUAUUGCAGGGAAAUGCAGAGAACAAGUUGUCAGGGGGCUUACUCGUGUGGGCCAGUCCUGUGUUUGCAUAGUUCAGGAUUGCAGGAAGGGAUCCAGCUGAGAGCACAGGCAAACCAGUGCAUUCCAAAACCACUGAGAGACAGGCUCUGCUUCUCUGCAUGUCCUCUCUGCAAGGAAGUAGCUGCAGUCUCCUGCUGCAUGCUGGUGGGUACUGGUGCUAUACAGACCAAAAAAACUGCAGGCAGCUGGAAAAAAAUCACUUUCUUUUUAAUGCAAAAUUUUUUUGUUAUUAUCAAUUAUGAGUGUUCUGGUUUGCAGGAAAGGGGAAGAAAUUGAAAUGGCUUUACACAUCUUUUGGCUGUCAUUCUUAGCUUGUUUUCUAAGGAAUGGUGUUUGUCUGUCAAACUUCUCUAAUUACUUUUGAACACAAGGAAUGUUUAUACAGCUGAGUUCAGUGGUGGUAGAGAUCCCAUCCCACAGUGGCCUUGUGUGGUUGCUUUGAAAUCAAUAGGGACACUUUGGGGUGUCCUGGCUGACGUGCAUGGUGUGAACCUCAGAGCAUCAUGACUGUGUAGCACUGGAGCAGCCCAGGAAGGUUUUGAGGAGACAAUGUCAGGAAGCAGGGCAUGGAUGGAGAGUUUGGUCACUUAGGAGUGAGUCACAAGGCAGAAAGUAUUGGUUUUCUGCUCAGAGUACUUGAGCCUUUCCUGAGGAGUUUUCAGACUGUUAGAGACUCAGUGCUUGUCUAAUUGUUCUCCCAGAAUCAAUAGUUAAACUUGCAUUGAUUUCUGCUGACUUCUCAUGCUUGGGAUUCCAGCUGUACCAUGGAACUUGAGAUCUCAGUGUUUCACAGAGGCUUACCUGCCACAGCUGCCUGACACCUCCUGAAAUACUGAGGACAGCUUCCCAGAAAGUGUGCAGGUUGGAAACACCACUCCAGGUGCCCUUGCAGCCUUUGUAGGUGCUACCUGCCAGGCUGCUGUUUGUCCACCCAUUUUACAGAGAUAGCCUGUGCCUGGUGGGCUCAUUCCCACAUAUUCCCAGGUCUGCAUCUCAGAAUGGCCACUUGCUGCUAUCUCCUCAUUCUGACUAUUCCAAGGAAUUUUUACUGAAAAUUUUUAUUUUAGCUGAAUUUUGAAUAAGAUUAUUUUCCAAAGACAAUUUUCUAUUUUAUUCCUUUUUAUGUAUCUGAUGUCUAGGUGCUGCUAUGUAUAUUUUCUUUUUUACUUGCAGUAUUUUCUAAAUUCACGUCUUCUUCAGCUCUUGACAACAAGAUCUACUGCCUAACACAUGUUAGUGCCUAUAUUUCUAUAUUUAAUUGCAAGAGAUUACUCUCAAAUGUAUUUCUGAAACAGGUAUAAAGAACAAUGUUUACUGGUAAGUUUCCCAUAACUUCUUUUCAUUGAGAAAAGAGUAAAAAAGAGUAAUGAUAUUGCACUUCUGCUGACUACUCUGCCUGAUUCACAGGGUAUUUGCUCUUAACAUGUUGUAGGAGUUAAAAAAAAUGUGUCAAACUUUUUUUGGCACCCAGCUCCAGUAGAUCCUGUUAGAAGAAACAUAUGGCCUCACACUAACAGUGUUAAAGCACUGCUGAAGUAUUGCAUGCACGACAUUGACAAAUUUCCUCUAGGCUUUUUGUUUUCUGUGCUAUUAAGCAUUCAAAGUCCACUAUUUCAUUACCACUGAUGAUACAGAGAGCCUUAUUGACAUUCUAUCCAUCUGUUCAUAACAUGCAUUAUUAAAUGUGAAGCAACUAGUAGGUAAGAGUGCACUUGCCAGCUGUACAAUGAAUUCUCAGUAGUUUGGUGCCCUCUAUAAAUUUUCUAGUAUUCUGCCAGUUUCUCAACAUAAUUUGCAAUGGGGAUAUUUUUUAAUGUUUUACAUUGUACAGAGAAAAGUUGCUUCAAAAGAAUAUUUUUUUUAUCCCUAAUGUGAAAUAUUUAGAUAUAGUUUCAAAAAGCCCAAGAGUCUUUUAAUAUACAAAUAUUGUUGCUAAUAUCAGAUCUCACUAACCACAGUUUCUGUCUUUUUCUUUUUUUGGUUUUUUCCCUAGGAGCAAAUCUGCUGCAUUACCUAUGAACAGGACAAUGGGGACCCAAUGAGUCACCCUAUUCAUAUAUUUUUGGAACCCAGAGGAAUUGGUUUUACUAUUUACAGAUUAUAACAGUUGAGGAAGAGCCUGAGGCUGGAGCUUGCCGAGAACACCAUGUGGAAAUGAUCUGAACAGGAUUCAGCUAAAUGGUUCCCACUGGCUGCUUUAAAGACCCAAAGCCUGUGACCAUCUGAAAUGCAGGAAUGCAUAGUUUUGGCCAUCCCUUCAACCUCAGCUCCCCUGUAAGGCUGCCUCUCUCCUCACCAGGAAAAUGCAGAUCCUGAAUGCUGAGCACUGGCUUUCCUGUAAACAGUACAUGUUUGAACAUGGAGUAAAACCCCUUGCAAACUCUCUACAUUGAUAUCCUCAGAGAGAUGUGACAUCUUUGGCUGAUCCAGGGGAAGGAGAAACCAGGACAAGAAGACAAGUGCUUGUGUCUGCCACUGAAUGGAUCCUUUCCUUGGUUGUGGAGUUACCCAGCUACAAGACCAACUGCCUAUCUCAAAUACCCAUUCUCAGUAGGCCAAAGAUAAAAGGAUUCGAUACUUUGGAGGAACUUUGCCUCACGUGGUUGUAAAAUCAGCAGAGGUGCUGGAAACACCUCUCAUUUUGUGUGGAGAGGUUCAGUCCUAUACCUGAUGGAGAGGAGAAAGCAUUGACUAAACAUUUUUCCAGUCCUUGAAGCAGUUUUCUUUGAGAGAAUGACAUUUUUCAUGCCAGACAGUUGGCAUCAGCUGUCAAGUUGGGUCAUCAAGUUGGGUGAACUGGACAAGACAGAGAUGGAGACAUGCAAUGCUGUAUGGUGUCAUCAGAACUAAAGAUUAUGAAAUUCUUCUGCACGGAUUUUACCCCUGAAGUGAACAGAACACACCAGGGAUAUCCCAUGGCGAUGAGAGUCCUUGUUCCAGCUCAACUGAUUCAACUGGCCAUGUUGCCUUUUAUCCAGGUUCCUGUUUUCAUCACAUGACAGGAGAUGCAGAAAGCACUAGGAAAACUACACCACCAGAGGGCAGCAUCCACAGUAGAACGUGGGAGGUGGUGCUUAUCACCUGCCAGGGAAAAUGUUGUCUUCUGAGGAGGGUCUGGGAGCCACCGGUAUCCUGGGUGCUUGCUGUGGAAGGAGAUGGCUCUCACUGAGCAUUACAGCCAGCAGCUCCUCACAGUUUGAGCAGAAAUUAAACCACAUGCCAGUGUGUUCCUGAAAUGCUUCUUGUCACUAAAAGCUGAUGAGGAAGGAUGAUUUAAGGCACUGGGGAAACCUUGUCUCACUCCUAGCUGCACUGUGAAUGCUUGGCUUCCAGAAGCUCAUGCUGGUCCCACUGAACAGCAGGGUGAAACACAGUUUGCCAUUAUGUGGAGGAGGCACAGUCCAUGUUCUGCAACUGCUGUGAGAGACCUUCUCCCACGACGGAAGCUCUCCUCCCUCUCAGACACUUGUCCUGGUCCAGCCUGCUCCCAUCUCCAUGAGACUGUUCCUGCUCUUGCCUAGCCCCAGUCCUUGGUGGGGUCUGUCAGCCCUGCAUCUUUCGCCCUUCCAGGCAGGUGGACAGGUCCCAGGGGAUGCAGCUGCAGGGCCAUGACCAGCGCUGCUCACCCUGCUGGGGAAUGACCAGAGAAACUCCUGGACCCUAAAUAUAGCUAUCACAUUGCAAUUCACCAUGAAAAUUUCACCUAAGAGUUAUGUUGUCUUCAUAUGAAAUAGAAUUAAAGUGAAUGAACGAAGACUGCAGUACCCUGAACUGAGGUCCUGGGAUUAACUAAAGAGCAAGAGCUUGUAAAGCCAACAGUUGAGGUUCUUCAGUGUAUAUUAUAUAUUGCCAUCUCAUCAAAUAAACUUAAAAGGAUCUCUGUCAUCUUCUCCUAGUGCUCCCUGGAGAAUAGAUGGUCAAAAAGUGAACUGUUUUUCUGGUUGCAUAUCACAUCCAAUUCUUGAGUCUAUGCACUGCCUACACAACCAUUGCUGUUGCUUCAAACAAGCAGUCCUAAGUGCAGUGAAAAAGUAUUUUUGUCAGUGAAAUGCCGUCUAUGGAAUCAUGGAUAAACCCACAUUUUCCUCAACCAGCUUCUUCUAAGGAAGCCCAGGUGCCCUCCUUGCAGCACAGUAAAGGUUUGGAGCCCUGCUGUCAGCCCAGAUGUGAAAUCUGUCCCUGCAAGGCAGACACGGGCUGGGCACGUUUCUCUGCUCAAUCACAGAGGCUCCAGCUUGGCUCAGCCACCUGCAGCCUGGGCAGGAGGAUUUCUCCUUUUCCCAGGCUUCAGAAGAGAGUCAGAAACCAUCAGGUGGUGUGACAAAGUGCCUUCCAUCAAAUAAUUGCUGAGCCAGUUGAUCAAUUUCAAUCAAGUGGGACAGAAGGAGAGAGCUGUGAGACAUGAAGUUACGAAGAAAACAGGUUUUUCAAUUGUCGAUAAAUGCAGUAAACAACAGUCUGCUUUCUCUCAGAAGAAGUUAUAUGAAGUUGUCAUCCAUUUGACGACCUGCAGUAGUGGAAAUCUGAACUGUAGUUUGGUUUUUUCACCCUCAUGGCAGAGUAAGAAGGAAUGAGAGCUCCUUCCCUAGGCCCUGUACCUCCUCCAAGCCCACAGCCUGGCUCUGCACAUAGGAAAAUGUGUGAAUGCUGUAACUCUGUCUCCUCAGCUUCCAAAGCAGAAGAAUUGAAUCAACUGAGUUUCCUAGGUGUCAGACAAUCCUGGAACCAAGAACCUCUGAGAACAUUUCAUCCUCUGGUUUCCCUGAAACUUUCAGUUACACCCUGAAGUUACUGGAAUCCACGUUCUGUUCAAGUGACCAUAUAUAAACUUGUCAUGGAGAUCAGCUGAGACCUCAUGGCAGAAAUCUCGUUUGAAACAACUGGAAAUUACUUUACCUUGGUUCAAGCCACAGCACAACAGAUACUUUCUCCUCCUUCUCCAGCCCUGCUGAGCUCCUGAAGAUGCCUGGAAGAAUUUGCUGCAUUUCUGGCCCCAGAGGCUGUUAUGGAGAACACCACUUGGCUACACAAGAGGUUGCUGAAAUCCAACGUUUGUUUUCAGAUAUACAUUCAUGCUUUUUAAGGAAAUGAUUGUAAGGAGCUGGAGAACCUUUGAAAUGAUGUUGCUCAAAGAUUUCCCAGCAUUGGCACAAACUAAGCAAAUAAGGAAAAUACUGCUAUAAUCACUGCAGAGAUGGAGAGUCCUGCUUAACUCCCAUUUUUGUAUUCAAAACUGGAAAAAUUACAAGUGCUUGAAGUUUAUCCUGGCCGAAAACAGCUGCAGCCAUGGCUGAACAUGACCCACAACAUGAUCUUUGCUCCACCACCUCUCUAAGACAAAACCAAGGAAGCCCUGUGGAAUGAAGGAUGUUUGCAAACACCACUGGCACAUAUUGUUUGUAAUAAAAAGUAAAAUUGAUCUUCAGUCCUGAAGAAAGACAUUUCAGCUGCCUUCUCAAACGUCUGAUGCAGAACUUCAGCAAAGAGUUUACAGCUCCUAAGGACAAGAGGGGGUUUUUUGGGAACAAUUUCUUUCUGACUAUCUGAAACAUGAGAAAGACAAAGCAAAAACACACUCUAGCAACAGAGAAAACAGACAACCAGAUAAACAGAUGAUGCUAUCACAGUGUUCCAAAUGUGGCAGACAUUUCACAAGGCAUUCAGAAGUGUACUAAAAAUGAUCUAAUAGUAUAAAAAGGCAAAGCUACAUGAACAGGAAAGUGGAACACCACACUGCAUGAACUGAUCAAGAGGGUACCAUGGCAUUUUAUUAGAAAUGCGCUGAAUACUCGUAUCUUUUUUAUUCCUUUUUAAAUUAAAUGCUCUAGGUAAAAUCCUGAUUGAUUAUCACUUUUAUUGAUGCUUUGUGGGGGACCAGAGUUUUGCUGUAUAAAGUCACAUCCGUAAUUUCAACCAGAUUUGCAGACUCAGUUCCAAUGUCCUU